AACGAACGCUGGCGGCAUGCCUAACACAUGCAAGUCGAACGAGACCUUCGGGUCUAGUGGCGCACGGGUGCGUAACGCGUGGGAAUCUGCCCUUGGGUUCGGAAUAACAGUUGGAAACGACUGCUAAUACCGGAUGAUGACGUAAGUCCAAAGAUUUAUCGCCCAGGGAUGAGCCCGCGUAAGAUUAGCUAGUUGGUGGGGUAAAGGCCUACCAAGGCGACGAUCCUUAGCUGGUCUGAGAGGAUGAUCAGCCACACUGGGACUGAGACACGGCCCAGACUCCUACGGGAGGCAGCAGUGGGGAAUAUUGGACAAUGGGCGAAAGCCUGAUCCAGCAAUGCCGCGUGAGUGAUGAAGGCCUUAGGGUUGUAAAGCUCUUUUACCCGGGAUGAUAAUGACAGUACCGGGAGAAUAAGCCCCGGCUAACUCCGUG
rnacentral:rRNA from 1 species